rnacentral:rRNA from 1 species
GACGAACGCUGGCGGCGUGCUUAACACAUGCAAGUCGAACGGAAAGGCCCUGCCUUUGUGGGGUGCUCGAGUGGCGAACGGGUGUGUAACACGUGAGUAACCUGCCCUUGACUUUGGGAUAACUUCAGGAAACUGGGGCUAAUACCGGAUAGGAGCUCCUGCUGCAUGGUGGGGGUUGGAAAGUUUCGGCGGUUGGGGAUGGACUCGCGGCUUAUCAGCUUGUUGGUGGGGUAGUGGCUUACCAAGGCUUUGACAGGUAGCCGGCCUGAGAGGGUGACCGGCAACGUUGGGACUGAGAUGCGGCCCAGACUCCUACGGGAGGCAGCGGUGGGGAAUAUAGCACAAUGGACGGAAGCCUGAUGCAGCAACGCCGCGUGCGGGGUAACGGCCUUCGGGUUGUAAACCGCUUUCGCCUGAGACGAAGCAUGAAUGACGGUAAUGGAUAAAGAAGCACCGGCUAACUACGUG